UUUAGCUUCGAAAAAAAGUCCUAAAUGAACCACCGACCCGGGACGCUGCAUGAAUGGGCUGUUACUGCCGAUUUCGAUAGCCGUUUCUUGUUCUUCACGCGAGGGGUAUGCAAUGUUUUCUUAGUUCAGUGAUGCCUUUCAGUCUACACGUCUGUCUAGCCAUAUAUAUUCGUCAGAGAAACGCAGGCUAGUGCUGGGAGCCUUCGGCGACAGCACAUAUACCUGCGUUUAUGAUGCGUCACAUCGGCGCUCCUCACUUCUUGUGCUGGCACUGUAGACAUGAAAAAAUUGUUUAUUUAAAAGCACCGAUGCGAAAUCUGAAAUAUAAAGUAAUUUAUCCUUUUUAGACUUCUUGAUUCUUGAGGUUAGACGCGCCGAUAGCGUGCAGACGGACUCGGCGGAUACGCUAUGCCUAAGCUUCGAUGGGGACUGAUCUCGGCGCGGGUAGCUGGCGAAAGCUAAAAUGUGUGUAUUUGAGCCUCAGAACUCUUUUUAGUACAAUAGGGAAAGUGGAAGCGCACGAAUCGCCUCAGCCUUGUUAUCGGUGCGAUAAUAUCAAGCAGCGGUAGGCAUCGAACUCGGGGUCCGUUCGAGCGCGUCUGAACGACUUCUGGAUUUCAUGUCCACUCCACAACACUGCGACAAUGGCGAUAACUCCCAGUCAUACGUUACGUGCGAACUACUAAAAAAGCGGCGUCCUCCGUCUAUGCGUGGUUUCGUUAAAGAAUUUAGCUGUCCGCCCUGUCACAAGGCAAAAUGCAAAAAACGAAAGUGAUUUUCAGUGUCACAUGUGCAGGAAUAAACAAGGCAGCUCACGCACCUUUAUUCCAUGCUGCGACACGAAAUAGUUCUAUGACCCUAAGAUAUAGCGUUAUUUAGGACAAGAGACUAGUAUCAAGCCAUGAAAUUGUAUAAAGCAUUUAAUAUUCAGCAGCGCUCGUCCUUGCGUGCUGGAGCCAGCGCGGCACAAACACAACCAGCGCCGUUUCCAAUGCGAGCGUCUCUUCCAGUGUGACCCAGCUCUUAUCCAGCGUUCUCACUGGUCUCGAGUGAGUCCCAGCGAGCGCCAGCGUACCCAGUGCGAUCCAGUGCUUAAAAAAAAAGAAAGAAAAAGAAAAAAGAAAAACGCGCUGGUUUCACACUGGAAGGCACUGGAAGACGCUGGUUCUUGCAAUCGGCAUUUCAGAGGUUUUUUACUAUCAAGUAAGAGCAUCGUUAAAAAGACACUCAUUGACCAAGGCAAACAUCACACUAAUCGAAAUUAGGAAAACCAAAGAAAUAUAACGGAAGCGCGCAUUGUGGUUUAUAUCGCAUAUGCAGGUAAAUCACAAAGAUGUAUACCAAGAAACACUAAGCAAAACUGCGCCUUAGCAAUCGCGUCAUAUCUAUUUGCUGGCAUGCAGUGACUGCAGCACUUGGGGCGGAAACAGAUCGAACGCCGCCGCAAAUUUCUGGCACAUACCACUCAAAUGCACGCUGCAGAAACGAUUUUUUUUUUUCAAGGAAUCUUGAACAGUCACAGACCACAUGAGCGCGAUCCGCGCAUGAUAAGCGCAUCGCCACGAAAGCAAGAUAGGGAACACAUAAGCGUAACCUGUACCUCACGGGUAAAAUUAAACAUCAUCGUAUAUACGUUGCUGUGCGACGGACACAAGCGCACGGAAACAUCACACACUGCACACGUGUACCUCCGAGGUUGUGUCGACAAUUUCUGGGCUACAUUUAAACGACAGCAGGAAGUUACUUCAAUGAGAAACGAAGUGAGGGCACAGGCACUGCAGGUAACGGCUGCGCAUAAAGUCAGUUAGGGUUUUAAGGCCAGUGACCGAGGUUGAAAUCGUUAAAAUCACACCGCAGCGAUAGCUUACACAGGGUAAAUUGUCGAGAUCUUGAAGGCCAUGCUUUUUGCUGACUACAUGUGGCAUAAGCGAUUCAAAAGCAAGAAUACUGCAUGUAAUUUAUUUCUGCCCUAAACUAUAGCACACAAUAUGAACAUGUCAAUGUUUCUUCUUGUCUAGCAACAUAUGUAUGUAGUUCGGCUCAAAGGCCGGCUCAAAACGGCACAAAACCUGCUGUAGUGGGUAUUAUUGUAAGAAUCACGGAGGCCACAGCAGCCGCACUAUUAUACAGACGGCGCUGGCGGCGCCGGUAUUUUCGUAUUCAACGCGACAGGUAGAAUACGAAGCUACGGCGUGUUGUUAUUGCUCCGUCUUCAACGGUUGUCGUGCGAGCUGCGUCGAUGUGUUUGUUUGACCGUGUGUUAUUAGGUUUGCUGUAAUGAAAUGAGACGUAGUUCGCGAGCACGAAAGUGCCAGAAGAUGGCUUGAGUCUCGCUGUAAGCACGCCGUAUGCGUGGCGCGCCAGCUAAAUGUGGACCAACGAUUUUCAUGCCAUGGAGUGCGUUCCCUUUGUCUCCGCUUGUGUUCGUGGAAAGUUUGGUGGACGGCGCAGAGAAGUAAUGCGUAUUAUUAGCGCGCCUCAGCUCGUCCACUACCCAGUGGCUUGUUUGCUGCAAGUAACAUCGCAGACGCAUCACUGGAAACUUGGAGAGUGCCUUUCGACCUCGUCGUACUGUUGAAACGUGGCGAGGCCGUGACCCACAACAUUAACUACAAGAUCGAGGAGCCCCAAGAAAUGCCGACCCUGUGGAUAUAUGGCUGCAGCAGAUUGCCGUGUGAUCUGGAUCGUCAUGACAGGUGUGUAUGAAAUGCUCCACCGUCGCCGUUACUAGACGGACCAAAUGAGGCCAAAAACUAGCCUUUCCUCGCUCCAUUCCUGGGAAGUGAAAUAGCAGGUGGUCAUGUAAGAAUGAACUUGCAACCAUGUGGGCAGUAGCCAAAGCUCCCUACAGUUCAUGCUGGUGGUGGAAUGAUAAGACAAACCGCAAUAUUUAUUUGUCUACUUAUUCACUUAAUAUUUAUUUAUUCAUAUCUCAUGAAUACUGUGCAGUUUUUUUAGCAAGGAGUCAGGUAAAAUAAAGAAAUAUUGUUGCAUCAAAGUAAACGUUAUUUGAAAAAGCAUAAUUCACGUAGCACGAAUUCAUGGAAACUGUAAAUUUUGAAGAAACAGAGCAGUAAGGUUAACAAAUCUUAUAUAACAAAAAAUGAGAUCACAUUUCUGUUGGACCUAAUACCAUAAUUUAAUUUGUCAAAUUAGAGAUACCAUAUGCUGCUCUAAUAUACAAUCACUAAUUUAUGAGUAGAUGCGCGAAACUCUCAAACGUUGCAACAAUUUCAUGCUAGCUGUAAAUUCAUAUAUACAGUUUGUUGACUUUAGACAUAGCAGAUGGAGUCUGCAGAACUAUGAUAUCUCUUUCUGGCACAGAGACGGGCAUUAGUAAGCUUUGUGGUGUUAUUUUUCUUAAACCUGCCAAAUAGACCUUCCUGCAACAGGUAGAAUUCUCAAAUGCCGCAAACUUAAUUCAAAUUAGUGCUGUGGUUGUCUCAAAAGUAUUUCUGUAUUUUGGAUGUAUUUGAGUAGGAAAAUUUACAGAAUUAACGAACUUGUGCUAGCUCUUUUUUUUAUUUACAGUUGCAAACUAAGUCCUUUUCCUUCAAGUUUUGCUAUUUUCAGCAAAUUUUAAUAAAAAUUGAUGGUGUUAAUGUAAAAACUAUAAUUUAAACAUUUUUAAAUGUAUCAAACCUCAUCAAAUUUGGUUGCAUAGUUGCCGAGAAAAACGAUUUUACUGUUCAUGUGCAUUACAUAGGAGCUCCUGAGCUAGAUCUCUUUUUUAGUCAUUGCGUCGGUCUGGUUUGUAUUUCUCACCCUAAUUAGAAUAUUGGCUCCUGUCUCAAAAUUGUUUCCCUUACAACGAAAUACAAGCUUUUAAACUUUUUACGAUAUAUGCUGUACUGCUCUAUGAUAACCCCUGUUUGCCACAUUUUUGCAGGGCCUACCAGUGCUAAUUUUACACAUAAACAUAGACUAAAAUGCUGUGUGGUUUCGGUAUAUGGUGUACUUAUCUGUGAAAGCCAUUAUUUGCCACAUUUUUGCAGCGACUGCCAGUGUUAUUUUUGCUCAGACUAAAAUGCUGUGUCGUUUCGUCAGGCUGACACAACAUUGCAGUGCACAUUCAUAUCAGUCUAUUUUCAGGCUUUAGUAUCCAAACAUUUAAUGUGCACUGCUGGAACAGGCACUCCUUUUGCAGUUUUAAUGGUAUGGUUUCUUGUCCUAGUCAAGCCUGUUAUUGCGAGGUGUCAACUGUAAUCAAGUCUGCCACUGAUUCUUUUACCUCAUGUUUCGUGUGUUUGCACCACCAGCUUGACCUGAGAAGCAUGUUGGCAGCUACAGUUUGUGUGUUGCAAGUUCUAGUCUGAAGUGUGUAUGUCACAUAUAUGAAGCAUGUAUCUAGUCUGAAGUGCAAUAAACAUUUCAAACUGAAUA